ensembl:misc_RNA Metazoa_SRP Metazoan signal recognition particle RNA
GCCAGGUGCGGUGGCUCACACCUGUAAUCCCAGCACUUUGGGAGGCUGAGGUGGGUGGAUCACCUGAGGUCAGGAGUUCGAGACUAGCCUGGCCAACACGGUGAAACCCCAUCUCUA